CCUAGGGUGGCAGCAGUGGGGGAUAUUACACAAUGGGGGGAACCCUGAUGCAGCGACGCCGCGUGGGUGAAGAAGCGCCUCGGCGCGUAAAGCCCUGUCAGCAGGGAAGAAAAUGACGGUACCUGGGGAGGAAGCUCCGGCUAACUACGUGCCAGCAGCCGCGGUAAUACGUAGGGAGCAAGCGUUGUCCGGAAUUACUGGGUGUAAAGGGAGCGUAGGCGGGGAUGCAAGUUGGGUGUCAAAACUAUCGGCUCAACCGAUAGUCGCACUCAAAACUGCAGCUCUUGAGUGAAGUAGAGGCAGGCGGAAUUCCUAGUGUAGCGGUGAAAUGCGUAGAUAUUAGGAGGAACACCAGUGGCGAAGGCGGCCUGCUGGGCUUUUACUGACGCUGAGGCUCGAAAGUGUGGGGAGCAAACAGGAUUAGAUACCCGUGUAGUC
rnacentral:rRNA from 1 species